rnacentral:misc_RNA from 1 species
AACGCACAUUGCGCCCUCUGGUAUUCCGGGGGGCAUGCCUGUUCGAGCGUCAUUGCAAACCCCUCAAGCACGGCUUGUGUGUUGGGCCAUCGUCCCCUAUGGACGGGCCUGAAAUGCAGUGGCAGCACCGAGUCCUGGUGUCUGAGUGUAUGGGAAUCUCUAUCGCUCAAAGACCCAAUCGGCGCUGAUGUCAGAUUUUUAUCCAGUUUGACCUCGGAUCAGGUAGGAGUACCCGCUGAACUUAA